UAGGGAAUCUUCCACAAUGGACGCAAGUCUGAUGGAGCAACGCCGCGUGAGUGAAGAAGGUCUUCGGAUCGUAAAACUCUGUUGUUAGAGAAGAACAUGCGAGGGAGUAACUGUUCUUGUAUUGACGGUAUCUAACCAGAAAGCCACGGCUAACUACGUGCCAG
rnacentral:rRNA from 1 species